rnacentral:lncRNA from 1 species
UAAUGAUGAUGGAUGCUUCCUCUUUCUGCUUUUAGAUCUGCCCCUCCUCCCAACCCAAAAAUAAAAAGCUGUGGAUACGUGUUUUCAAGUCGUUACUUGAAGCACCAUACUGAAUCAUAAAUCAUUCCGUUUUUUCAUAAUGAACAGGCAACCCCUGACUAGCAACAUAUGGGGUGCAACUGCUACAACCCUCCCAAAGUAUUGGCUCAGGAUACUGGUCGAUCAAAUUACAAAGUGGUGAAGCCAGAUUCAACACUCCCAGAAGAGAUAUGGCGCACAUCAGAGGAGCCAAUCAGUUUCUCACUAAGGAAUCAAUCAGCGACUCACAGGACAACCUCACAUGUUAGUUUCCCACAGGACAAACAUGUUUGGUAGUUGAAAAGCAGGGCUUCUUUCUCCCUAGGCCUAGUUUGGCCUCACAUCAAGCCUGAUUCUCACUAAUCACCCUCAAAAUCCUGCUUAGUCAAUGUCACAAAUAAUAAAAAUUCUCCAUUCCACAGCACGGACAAAAAGAAAAAAAAAAUCAAUUGAUUGGAUUAGUAUAACUAAAUCAUACCCCUUAUUAUUCUAAAUGCAAUGAAAAAGAACUAAAAUAGCUUAUCAGCAAUUAACAUUCACAUGAAUUGGAAUUUCUCAAAUAAAGAAAGUAGCCUUUUGCCUUUCAAAGUGUGACUGACAACAUAGUAGAAUGGUUGCCUCGUAUGAAUAUUACCCUCAGUUAUCGACCAGCAGGGUGUAGACGCAGUCAGAGGAUCCGGGUGGAGAAAGAGAGAAUAGGGAUAAAGCCAAAAACGUCA